rnacentral:rRNA from 1 species
GACGAACGCUGGCGGCGUGCUUAACACAUGCAAGUCGAACGGAAAGGCCCUGCUUUUGUGGGGUGCUCGAGUGGCGAACGGGUGAGUAACACGUGAGUAACCUGCCCUUGACUUUGGGAUAACUUCAGGAAACUGGGGCUAAUACCGGAUAGGAGCUCCUGCUGCAUGGUGGGGGUUGGAAAGUUUCGGCGGUUGGGGAUGGACUCGCGGCUUAUCAGCUUGUUGGUGGGGUAGUGGGUUACCAAGGCUUUGACGGGUAGCCGGCCUGAGAGGGUGAGCGGACACAUUGGGCCUGAGAUACGACACAGCCUCGUACGGGACGCAGCAGUGGGGAAUAUUGCACAAUGGGCGGAAGCCUGAUGCAGCAACGCCGCGUGCGGGAUGACGGCCAUCGGGUUGUAAACCGCUUUCGCCUGUGACGAAGCGUGAGUGACGGUAAUGGGUAAAGAAGCACCGGCUAACUACGUG